UCCGCAGGCGGGUCAGUAAGUCAGGGGUGAAAGUUUGCGGCUUAACCGUAAAAUUGCCCUUGAUACUGCUGGUCUUGAGUUGCGGUGAAGUGGCCGGAAUAUGUGGUGUAGCGGUGAAAUGCAUAGAUAUCACAUAGAACACCGAUUGCGAAGGCAGGUCACUAACCGCAUACUGACGCUGAUGGACGAAAGCGUGGGGAGCGAACG
rnacentral:rRNA from 1 species